rnacentral:rRNA from 1 species
UUAUAUAACGACUCUCGGCAACGGAUAUCUCGGCUCUCGCAUCGAUGAAGAACGUAGCGAAAUGCGAUACUUGGUGUGAAUUGCAGAAUCCCGCGAAUCAUCGAGUCUUUGAACGCAAGUUGCGCCCGAAGCCAUCCGGUCGAGGGCACGUCUGCCUGGGUGUCACGC